rnacentral:lncRNA from 1 species
CAAAGCAUGAUGGCAACAAUGACUAAACCAACAAUAACCCAUGUUGGGGUGUUAUUGUCAUUAGAUGAUAUGGAUUUCGGAUCGAUCCAUGCCAAUGGUGGAGGAAAGUACUGGAAACUCGGAUAAGUUUGUGGAUAGUUAUUGUUCUCCAUCAAGAAAACUCUGUGGAGGUAGUUCAAUGCGAGCGGUGAGUCUACAAACAUAUUAUGAAGCAUCAAUCCAAGAGCCAAUUUACCUUUUUAUCAUGAUGAAUUGAUCGUAUGAUCCAAGCACGAGAUCGAAAUGAUUCAACACGGAAUUCAGCGAGAUAUAAUGUGAGUGGAAGUAGUUGCUUGCACAUAUACCCUCACAAGAAGAGCCAAGCAAAUCGGUGAAUGAUGUUGCGCCAAUGCUUA